rnacentral:rRNA from 1 species
AGGCACAGCUCAAAUUUGAAAUCUGGCCCCCUCGGGGUCCGAGUUGUAAUUUGCAGAGGGUGCUUCGGCGUUGACCCCGGGCCAAGUCCCUUGGAACAGGGCGUCCGAGAGGGUGAGAGCCCCGUGUCCGCCCGGGCCGUCUUCGCCGCGCGAAGCCCCUUCGACGAGUCGAGUUGUUUGGGAAUGCAGCUCUAAGCGGGAGGUAAAUUUCUUCUAAGGCUAAAUACCGGCCAGAGACCGAUAGCGUACAAGUAGAGUGAUCGAAAGAUGAAAAGCACUUUGGAAAGAGAGUCAAAAAGCACGUGAAAUUGUUGAAAGGGAAGCUCUUGCCGCCAGACUUGCGGCGGUCGCUCAGCCGUCCCCCGGGGGCGGUGUACU